rfam:Ornithorhynchus anatinus chromosome 2, whole genome shotgun sequence.
AGCAGCGUGGCUCAGUGGAAAGAGUACUGGCUUGGGAGUCGGAGGGCAUGGGUUCGAAUCCCGGCUCUGCCA